rnacentral:rRNA from 1 species
CUCCUGGAAACGGGUGGUAAUGCCGGAUGUUCCACAUGAGCGCAUGCGAGUGUGGGAAAGGCUUUUUGCGGCAUGGGAUGGGGUCGCGUCCUAUCAGCUUGUUGGUGGGGUAACGGCCUACCAAGGCGUUGACGGGUAGCCGGCCUGAGAGGGCGACCGGCCACAUUGGGACUGAGAUACGGCCCAGACUCCUACGGGAGGCAGCAGUGGGGAAUAUUGCACAAUGGGCGCAAGCCUGAUGCAGCGACGCCGCGUGCGGGAUGGAGGCCUUCGGGUUGUAAACCGCUUUUGUUCAAGGGCAAGGCACGGUUUCGGCCGUGUUGAGUGGAUUGUUCGAAUAAGCGCCGGCUAACUACGUGCCAGCAGCCGCGGUAAUACGUAGGGUGCAAGCGUUAUCCGGAUUUAUUGGGCGUAAAGGGCUCGUAGGCGGUUCGUCGCGUCCGGUGUGAAAGUCCAUCGCUUAACGGUGGAUCCGCGCCGGGUACGGGCGGGCUUGAGCGCGGUAGGGGAGACUGGAAUUCCCGGUGUAACGGUGGAAUGUGUAGAUAUCGGGAAGAACACC